rnacentral:rRNA from 1 species
AACGAACGCUGGCGGCGUGCCUAACACAUGCAAGUCGAGCGCGAAUGGAGCAAUCCUAGUAGAGCGGCGCACGGGUGCGUAACACGUGGGUAAUCUGCCUCAAAGCCCGGGAUAACCUGCCGAAAGGCAAGCUAAUACCGGAUAAGCCUACGGACUCUUCGGGGUCUGAAGGAAAAGGUGGCCUCUGUAUACAAGCUAUCACUUUGAGAUGAGCCCGCGGCCCAUCAGCUCGUUGGCGGGGUAACGGCCCACCAAGGCAACGACGGGUAGCUGGUCUGAGAGGACGAUCAGCCACACUGGGACUGAGACACGGCCCAGACUCCUACGGGAGGCAGCAGUGGGGAAUUUUGGACAAUGGGGCAACCCUGAUCCAGCCAUGCCGCGUGAGUGAAGAAGG